rnacentral:rRNA from 1 species
GAACGCUGGCGGCGUGCCUAAUACAUGCAAGUCGAACGCACAGCGAAAGGUGCUUGCACCUUUCAAGUGAGUGGCGAACGGGUGAGUAACACGUGGACAACCUGCCUCAAGGCUGGGGAUAACAUUUGGAAACAGAUGCUAAUACCGAAUAAAACUUAGUGUCGCAUGACACAAAGUUAAAAGGCGCUUCGGCGUCACCUAGAGAUGGAUCCGCGGUGCAUUAGUUAGUUGGUGGGGUAAAGGCCUACCAAGACAAUGAUGCAUAGCCGAGUUGAGAGACUGAUCGGCCACAUUGGGACUGAGACACGGCCCAAACUCCUACGGGAGGCUGCAGUAGGGAAUCUUCCACAAUGGGCGAAAGCCUGAUGGAGCAACGCCGCGUGUGUGAUGAAGGCUUUCGGGUCGUAAAGCACUGUUGUAUGGGAAGAACAGCUAGAAUAGGAAAUGAUUUUAGUUUGACGGUACCAUACCAGAAAGGGACGGCUAAAUACGUGCCAGCAGCCGCGGUAAUACGUAUGUCCCGAGCGUUAUCCGGAUUUAUUGGGCGUAAAGCGAGCGCAGACGGUUUAUUAAGUCUGAUGUGAAAGCCCGGAGCUCAACUUCGGAAUGGCAUUGGAAACUGGUUAACUUGAGUGCAGUAGAGGUAAGUGGAACUCCAUGUGUAGCGGUGGAAUGCGUAGAUAUAUGGAAGAACACCAGUGGCGAAGGCGGCUUACUGGACUGCAACUGACGUUGAGGCUCGAAAGUGUGGGUAGCAAACAGGAUUAGAUACCCUGGUAGUCCACACCGUAAACGAUGAACACUAGGUGUUAGGAGGUUUCCGCCUCUUAGUGCCGAAGCUAACGCAUUAAGUGUUCCGCCUGGGGAGUACGACCGCAAGGUUGAAACUCAAAGGAAUUGACSGGGACCCGCACAAGCGGUGGAGCAUGUGGUUUAAUUCGAAGCAACGCGAAGAACCUUACCAGGUCUUGACAUCCUUUGAAGCUUUUAGAGAUAGAAGUGUUCUCUUCGGAGACAAAGUGACAGGUGGUGCAUGGUCGUCGUCAGCUCGUGUCGUGAGAUGUUGGGUUAAGUCCCGCAACGAGCGCAACCCUUAUUGUUAGUUGCCAGCAUUCAGAUGGGCACUCUAGCGAGACUGCCGGUGACAAACCGGAGGAAGGCGGGGACGACGUCAGAUCAUCAUGCCCCUUAUGACCUGGGCUACACACGUGCUACAAUGGCGUAUACAACGAGUUGCCAACCCGCGAGGGUGAGCUAAUCUCUUAAAGUACGUCUCAGUUCGGAUUGUAGUCUGCAACUCGACUACAUGAAGUCGGAAUCGCUAGUAAUCGCGGAUCAGCACGCCGCGGUGAAUACGUUCCCGGGUCUUGUACACACCGCCCGUCACACCAUGGGAGUUUGUAAUGCCCAAAGCCGGUGGCCUAACCUUUUAGGAAGGAGCCGUCUAAGGCAGGACAGAUGACUGGG